CCCAGGGCCUACGCCCUGGGCUACUAUCUUUCGCCCCUUACGGGGCU
rnacentral:sRNA from 1 species